AUUGAACGCUGGCGGCAUGCCUUACACAUGCAAGUCGAACGGCAGCACGGGAGCAAUCCUGGUGGCGAGUGGCGAACGGGUGAGUAAAGUAUCGGAACGUGCCCAGUCGUGGGGGAUAACGUAGCGAAAGUUACGCUAAUACCGCAUACGAUCUAUGGAUGAAAGCGGGGGAUCGCAAGACCUCGCGCGAUUGGAGCGGCCGAUAUCAGAUUAGGUAGUUGGUGGGGUAAAGGCUCACCAAGCCGACGAUCUGGAGCUGGUCUGAGAGGACGACCAGCCAAACUGGGACUGAGACACGGCCCAGACUCCUACGGGAGGCAGCAGUGGGGAAUUUUGGACAAUGGGCGCAAGCCUGAUCCAGCCAUGCCGCGUGCAGGAUGAAGGCCUUCGGGUUGUAAACUGCUUUUGUACGGAACGAAAAGGUUUGGCUUAAUACGUUGAACUCAUGACGGUACCGUAAGAAUAAGCACCGGCUAACUACGUGCCAGCCGCCGCCGUAACAC
rnacentral:rRNA from 1 species